GGGCGACUGGCGGAAUUGGUAGACGCAGUUGACUCAAAAUCAUCCGCGCAAGCGUGUCGGUUCGAGUCCGACGUUGCCCA
rnacentral:tRNA from 1 species